GUCGUCUGCAAAGAGUCUUAUUUGGCUGUGUUUUAGAUAGUCCGGUAGGUCGUUUAUAUAUAUGAGAAAGAGUAUUGGACCUGGUACAGUCCCCUGAGGAACACCUGAUGUUACUGGAAUUAUGUUGGAAGUUGUGUUUUCGAGGAGUACUCACAGUUUGGGUUCUAUUGGAGAGGAAUGAAUCGAUCCAAUGAAUUGCUUGAUCAGAGAUGCCAUAGUGUUUUAAUUUGUAAAGAAGGCGUUUGUGUGGCACUUUAUCAAACGCUUUCGCAAAGUCCAUGAUUACUAGAUCAGUUUGGAUAUUUUUGUCGUUGCUUUGAGCAAGUUGGUGUACAAGAGAAAUUACUUGUGAUUCACAUGAUCUUUUAGAUCUGAAGCCAUGUUGUAGUUCAUACAAUAUUUUGUUUGUUUCUAGGUGUUUCAUCAUGUUACUUGCUAAUAUAUGUUCUAGUAAUUUACAUGAGAUGCAGGUAAGUGAUAUUGGUCUGUAAUUUCCAGGAUGAUGUUUGUCUCCUUUUUUAAAUACUGGUGUAACGUUAGCAUGGUUCCAGUCUGAAGGUACUUUGCCUGUCCCAAGAGAUUUGUUGAAGAUGAUAGUAAGAAUGUAUUAAGUUAUUUCAAUGUUUUCUUUAAGUAUUUUGCCAGCGAUAGUAUCUAGACUUGUAGCUUUGUUAGUGUUUAUAUUUUUUAUUAGUUUUAUAUAUACUCCUUCUCUACUGAUGUUUAUUUUUUCCAUUUUAGGGUGUGCACCAGGUUCUUUGGUUGGUAUUUCUAUAUUUUUUUCAGAUGUGAAAGCUGAUUGGAAUUGCUUAUUAAGGAUGUUUGCUUUCUCAGAGGGGUUUGUAUGAAGGGUGUUGAAGACCGUACAUUGACCUAUAAUGGUUUACUUUUAUAAAUUGUUAUUUGGAUGGAAAGUUGUCUCGUUGGCACUCACACCACAUCUUCCUAUAUCUAUAAAUUUCGUAUGGUGUACCGUAUAAAAUCGGAUCACAAAAACAAUAACCCAAAGGGUAAUGGAGACUAGUUAAAGAGCUUUUCUUUCUGUCAAAAAAAUGUGCAGAGGAGGGAUUAGUUCAAACUUGUUGGACAAAGUAAAAGAAAAGCAAAAAAAAAAGUAAAAAGGCAACUACCCAUAAGAGUGAAAAUCUUCCCCCAGCACCGCCCAGGCAUGUCAUUGGGGAAUAUUAUAGCUCAAACUAAUGCUAAGGGUGUCUACUACAUGCCUGAAUCUUUAUUUAUACUAAAAAAUGUGAUCGUAGGCCAAAAAGAAUAUUUAAUCGACCCCUACCCCCCAAUUUCGAUAGUCAAAGAGACGCCAAUAUUGACCACACCAACCCCGGAUCUUUUCACCCUAGGGACCAAACUGAGCAUAUUAUUGGUCUAUACAAGGUGUCAUUUUCAUUGUUAAGGCCUUGGCUAACUUUAAGAUGUGUUUUCCAACAUUAUUAGGUGCUUAAUU
rnacentral:lncRNA from 1 species